rnacentral:rRNA from 1 species
UACGUAGGGGGCAAGCGUUGUCCGGAAUCAUUGGGCGUAAAGAGCGUGUAGGCGGUUCGGUAAGUCGGCUGUGAAAGUCCAGGGCUCAACCCUGGGAUGCCGGUCGAUACUGCCGGGCUAGAGUCCGGAAGAGGCGAGUGGAAUUCCUGGUGUAGCGGUGGAAUGCGCAGAUAUCAGGAGGAACACCUAUAGCGAAGGCAGCUCGCUGGGACGGUACUGACGCUGAGGCGCGAAAGCGUGGGGAGCGAACAGG